AAGCAGACCUAACUAGUCUUAAGGCCCUGACACACUAACCCGAUGGCUGACCGUUGACAGAAAAGGCAGUUGGACU